UACGGGGGGAGCAAGCGUUGUCCGGAUUUACUGGGCGUAAAGGGCGCGUAGGCGGCCACCGCAAGUCGACUGUGAAAUCUCCGGGCUUAACCCGGAAAGGUCAGCCGAUACUGCGGGGCUAGAGUGCAGAAGGGGCAACUGGAAUUCUCGGUGUAGCGGUGAAAUGCGUAGAUAUCGAGAGGAACACCUGCGGCGAAGGCGGGUUGCUGGGCUGACACUGACGCUGAUGUGCGAAAGCUAGGGGAGCGAACGGG
rnacentral:rRNA from 1 species